rnacentral:rRNA from 1 species
UUAAGGUUUAAUCUGCUCAAUGAUUAUUUAAAUUGCCGCAGUAUUUUGACUGUGCAAAGGUAGCAUAAUAAUUAGUUUCUUUAUUGGGAACUGGAAUGAAUGAUUGGACGAGAAAAUUUCUGUCUCUUUAUUAUUUUAAUUGAAUUUUACUUUUAAGUUAAAAGGCUUAAAUUUUAUUAGAGGACGAGAAGACCCUAUAGAGUUUAAUUUUUAUUUAAAUAAUUAUUUUUAGUAUUUAUAUAUAUUAUUUAAAUAAAAAUUUAGUUGGGGUGACUAAAAGAUAAGAAUAACUCUUUUAAUUUUAAUCAAUUAUUUUUGAUUAUAAAAUCUUUAUUUUUAAUUUUAAAAUAAAUUACCUUAGGGAUAACAGCGUAAUUCUUUUUUAAAGUUCUUAUUAAAAGAAGAGUUUGCGACCUCGAUGUUGGAUUAAAAUUAAUUUUAGGUGUAGAAGCUUGAAAAUUAAGUCUGUUCGACUUUUAAAAUUUUACAUGAUCUGAGUUUAAACCGGUGUGAGCCAGGUUGGUUUCUA